CUGAAGCAAGGGAAGGGACAGUUUGAGGAGGGAGAAGAAGAUCUUGGAGACGGGAGAAGGUGCCUGCUGGGGUGAAGUAAAGAAGCCAGAACUGAAGAGGAAAAAAGAAGAGACAGGGAACACCUCUAUGAUGCACCUGUGCCCCAUCUG
rnacentral:lncRNA from 1 species